rnacentral:rRNA from 1 species
GAUCCUGGCUCAGAAUCAACGCUGGCGGCGCGCUUAACACAUGCAAGUCGCACGAGAAAGGGGCAACCUGAGUAAAGUGGCGUACGGGUGAGUAACACGUGGAUCAUACACCUUUUAGUGGGGAAUAACUUUGGGAAACCGAAGCUAAUACCGCAUAAGCCCGAGAGGGGAAAGCAGCAAUGCGCUGAAAGAGUAGUCCGCGGCUGAUUAGCUAGUUGGUGAGGUAAUGGCUCACCAAGGCUUUGAUCGGUAGCCGGCCUGAGAGGGCUCACGGCCACACUGGCACUGAAACACGGGCCAGACUCCUACGGGAGGCA